UACGGGGGGGGCAAGCGUUGUUCGGAAUUACUGGGCGUAAAGGGCUCGUAGGUGGCCAACUAAGUCAGACGUGAAAUCCCUCGGCUUAACCGGGGAACUGCGUCUGAUACUGGAUGGCUUGAGUUUGGGAGAGGGACGCGGAAUUCCAGGUGUAGCGGUGAAAUGCGUAGAUAUCUGGAGGAACACCGGUGGCGAAGGCGGCGGCCUGGACCAACACUGACACUGAGGAGCGAAAGCCAGGGGAGCAAACGGG
rnacentral:rRNA from 1 species